UACAGAGGUCUCAAGCGUUGUUCGGAUUCAUUGGGCGUAAAGGGUGCGUAGGUGGCGAGGCAAGUCAGAUGUGAAAUCCCGGGGCUCAACCCCGGAACUGCAUUUGAAACUGCCUUGCUCGAGUACUGGAGAGGAGACUGGAAUUUACGGUGUAGCAGUGAAAUUCGUAGAUAUCGAGAGGAACACCGGUGGCGAAGGCGGCCAACUGGACGAAUACUGACGCUGAGACUCGAAAGCGUGGGGAGCAAACAGG
rnacentral:rRNA from 1 species